AUCUACCAUAGAGGUCUACCCUAGAGGCUCAGUAUGACUUGACCAUGCAUAAACCAAGUUUCAGCAGAGCCUAGUUACAUCUUGGGCUUCUGCAAACUGAGAUUGUCAAUGGCAUGUUCCUGAAGCUCACCCUUAAUUGGAUCCUGAAAAUAUUUAUUAUUGAUCAGAUGCUGUCAGGUUUUUUUUUUUUUUUUUUUUUUAAGGUCCCUAAUUGAUAAACCUUUGGUUGAUUGCUGUGGUUGAAGAAAAAUGUCUACCUUUCCUCAAGUACAAAGUUUGGAAUUACAUUUGGAAAAUGAUUGGAAAAUUGUUGUGAGCCUGAGGGUGUGGCAACACGAGAAAUCAAUAGAAAACAGAAUCUUUGAAGUUGACAGCAUCUCUGAUGAAAUCUUCAAGGUAUCAGCCACCUGCCAUGGUGUGGACGCCUGUCAGCAAGCCACGGCCCUACACAUCCACGCUACAUCUGAGCAUCCUCCAGCCUGCCCGGAAGGCGAUAUUCAGAAUCUCCGUGGAGAACCACUUCAGGGAUUGACACCUUGAAGUAAGAUCCACUUUAAAUACGAGAUGGAGGCCGAAAUUGAAUUGCUGCUGACUGUUGUCCCUUGUUAUGGCCUGUGGAGAUAUGACAAUUGAGGAAGAACUUAGAGAAAUGCCAAGUAGUAGAGCAUGAAGGAGUGGGUGUGACCCACUGCCUUGGAUAUUUUAUGGCUGAUAGCAUUUGGCAAGAAAAAAUCUGCAGCCUCUAUAGUACUCUUGCAAAUAGAUUUCAACAUCAACCAUGCCCCUACCCUCAUCCCUAUUUGAUUUGCCCUGUAAGGUAUAUAUUUGCCAAAAUCUGCUCUUCUAAUUUUCAGUUACUUCACUGGACCCCUUGUAAACACCUAAAUAUUGAAAUAAAUAACACUUGAAAAGUGCUUUGUUUAAUUAA
rnacentral:lncRNA from 1 species